rnacentral:rRNA from 1 species
CCUACGGGCGGCAGCAGUGAGGAAUAUUGGUCAAUGGCCGAGAGGCUGAACCAGCCAAGUCGCGUGAGGGAAGACGGCCCUACGGGUUGUAAACCUCUUUUGUCGGGGAGCAAAGAGAGUCACGUGUGACUCAUUGAGAGUACCCGAAGAAAAAGCAUCGGCUAACUCCGUGCCAGCAGCCGCGGUAAUACGGAGGAUGCGAGCGUUAUCCGGAUUUAUUGGGUUUAAAGGGUGCGCAGGCGGAGGUGCAAGUCAGCGGUCAAAUUGCGGGGCUCAACCCCGACGAGCCGUUGAAACUGGCUUGCUAGAGUGGGCGAGAAGUAUGCGGAAUGCGUGGUGUAGCGGUGAAAUGCAUAGAUAUCACGCAGAACUCCGAUGGCGAAGGCAGCGUACCGGCGCCAGACUGACGCUGAGGCACGAAAGCGUGGGGAUCGAACAGGAUUAGAUACCCGAGUAGUC